rnacentral:rRNA from 1 species
GUACACGCUGUGACUAGCAUAUCAAUAAGCGGAGGAAAAGAAACUAACAAGGAUUCCCCUAGUAACGGCGAGUGAAGCGGGAAGAGCUCAAAUUUGAAAUCUUAAAGGGUUUCCCUUUACGAAUUGUAGUUUAAAGAAGUGUUUUCUGUUGAGGUUUUGGUAAAAGUUCUUUGGAAUAGGACAUCAUAGAGGGUGAGAAUCCCGUAUUUGACCUUUACUUUCAACUUUGUGAUACACUUUCAAAGAGUCGGAUUGUUUGGGAAUGCAGUCCAAAAUGGGUGGUAAAUUUCAUCUAAAGCUAAAUAUUGGCGAGAGACCGAUAGCGAACAAGUACCGUGAGGGAAAGAUGAAAAGAACUUUGAAAAGAGAGUUAAACAGUACGUGAAAUUGUCAAAAGGGAAGCGUUUGACACCAGUGUUGUUUUUCUGAAAAUCAAUUAAAGAACUGUUUAUGCUAAGUUGUUUAGACUUUAUCAGCUAACUGUUUAGUUUUGAGCUUUUCUUUAAUGCACUUUUCAGUUAACAAGUCAACAUCAAUUUCUUUUGCUGUAAAAAAGCUUGAGGAAGGUGGCUUGAGAUUCGUCUUAAGUGUUUAUAGCCUCUUGCCUAUGCAGUCGGAGAGAUUGAGGUCUGCAGCGUAGAUCCUUCGGGGCUAAAUGCAUUUGUGCUAAGUUAUAGCAUUUUAUAGACAACUUGUUGACUAUGAUUUGUCUUGUAGCUUACUCGCUUAUGUUAUUUUACCUACGCUUAGGAUGUUGACGCGCGUGUGUGCGUG